AUUCCAUAAUCACAGCGGGCGAGAGCGGAGACUGGGAGCGAAAAAUCCGGGAUCCGGCAACUUUGGGCAGCGCAUGCGCGCCCGCGGCGCUCCAUCCCAAACACACACACAUUUUUCCCCCGGACUUGGAAAGUCACCCAAAGCCGCCCCAAGUGCAGGCAAACAGACCUCACUGAGUGAAGGUGAAGACCAUCCAUCUUACCUGCCUUUCCUGCUGCCUCAGCCCUUCCUAUAGAAGGGGGUCCUGCUGCUCCCGUGGUGUGUGUGGGAAUGGACUUCGGACCCCAGGUUCUUGGGAUGCAAAGGAUGAAGUGACAACCCCACCGCAAGAGAGGAGCCUCUAGGACCCACGACAAGGACCUCAUCUCCUCUUGAGUCCCACCUCCCGAGAAGUCCCGAUUGUCUUCUCCGUGACAGUUUCCUCAGAGCUCUUGCUCUCAGCAUCCCAGGAGCCUUGUAUCUCCAUCCUGUAGCCUCUAGAAGUUCUCAGGUCCAGUUUCCUCUUCUGCAAGGUAAGCAGAAUAUCUCGUUUGCAGUGUUAUUCGGACAGGUAGUUGUUGCGGUUCAGUUGCUUGGUCAUGUCCAACUCUUUGAGACCCCAAGGACUAUAGGCCACCAGGCUCCCCUGUCCUUCACUGUCUCCUGGAGUUUGCUCAGAUUCAUGUCCAUUGAGUCAGUAUGCUUUCUAACCAUCUCAAGCAUGUGAGUGGAUGGGACUGAAGGUGUCUGACAGGUAAGCAACACCUACCUCCUUUGUUCCCUCCCUCCUUUGUUCCUUUAUACCUGCCAGAGUGGGGGUCUUCCCCUGGGCAUUUAGGAGGCAGCAGUCAGCCCUCAGCAGGUUCCAUGCAGAGCCCCUCUCCUGCCCCAGGACCUCUGAGUCCCUCAUCUUGGAGAAGCUGAGGCUCCUCACUUGAGCGAGUGCUGUGCAAGAUGUCCCUCUCCAGGG
ensembl:lncRNA